UCCCUUGUAGCUCAGUUGGUAAAGAAUCUGCCUACAAUGCAGGAGACCUGGGUUUGAUUCCUGGGUUGGGAA
rfam:Ovis aries breed Texel chromosome 8, whole genome shotgun sequence.